UUGAAGUGAUUAAUUAAAUGAUUAUUUCUUCGUGUGCAUACGAUUGUUCGUUAAAACUUCAGGGGCCGAUUAACGCGUUAGCGUUAGAAUUUUUGAUGUUCAUUGGUUCUGGUUGUAGCAGAGUAUUUUAUUAUUUACUCAUAUUGCAGGGUAUCUGAAGUUACAUAAGUAAUCGGUGGGCAUUUUCUGUGAGCACCUGUGGAUUUAGAGGAGUGUUACUUCUUAGGAGUACAGUAGUGUGUGCCAAUCGUCUCUUCCACUCGGUCCAGUUUUGUACGUUCGAAUUUCCCAAAAUGCAUGGUAGAAGGAACUUUUUGAUGUUCAUUGAGUGUAGUUGUAGGAGAGUAUUCUAUUAUUUACUCACAUUGCAGGGUAUCUAAAGUGACAUCGGUAUUCAGUGGACAUUUUCUGUGAGCACCUGUGGAUUUAGAGAAGUGUUACCACUCGGGGUUCAGUCCAGUUUUGAUAUCUGACCAGCAUUUGGUGGACGUUCGUGUUAUUCGUGUUCGGAUAGCCUACAACUGUGAACUUCCAGAAGUAAAAAGUGACAAAUUAGCUAGAUGGCGUCGUUAAUUGCUGACCUCCCGGACGAAAUGUUUCUUGAAGUAAUGAAAUACCUUGCAGUGAAAGACAUAGAUACUGCUGAAAGAAACAACUCUUGUUUGGUGACUUCUAAUCUUAUGCAAUGCUGAGCUGUUCGUAAAUUUAACUGCAGAAACUAAACUUAUCAUAGUAGCAACUGGAAUUUAUAUUCAUGG